AUGGUAUUAACAAAUUUGUUUGACCAACUCGUGUUUGUAUGGCUAAAGGUAGUGAAUGGACACGGAAAAAUUUUAAUGUGUGAUUGAUCGUUUCCACCUCCAUGCCAAAGUGAACUAGGGUAGUUGAUUUUCCCAUGCAAUGAUCACACGUUUCCCUAGUUUAUAUAAAUCCAUACAAUCAGAAUUAGGUCUUCCCAAGCUACUACUACAAUUAUCACACAUUAAUUUCCUCCCCUUCUAAAACGAACUCCAUCGACGAUCAUAGGCUGGAGAAUCUGAUUAGCCGGUGAAGAAGCUCUAGACUACGAUAAAUUGAAUGCUCGACGACCCGGGUAUUCUGACAAGUUUAUAAGGUACGAUAGGGUCUUAGAGUUGUCCCUAAAGUAUGGUGCACCAUAUCCGAUUGCUACUAAAGGGGAUGCCAACUUUUUAGCGUUUUAUGUGAAAGGGUUUGAAGAAAAGUACGCAUUCCUGGAGAGGGAGGAGUUUUCAAGUUAUUACACUUCGGAUUGUCUGUGGGGUCAGCGAAGUCUCCCAGGUCCCAAGUGUGGACUUCGCUCGUGCGACCACCCACAGAGUCCAGGUGGUGAUACCACAUGGACUGAAGGCUUUGUCCUUGAUCCAGUUGAUGAGGAUUGGAUUUCAGAUGCUAGGUCUUGAGAUAGGUUGUAGGUAUUUGGAUGUGGUGUAAUCAAAACAUUAGUUAAUAUAUAUUUUUUGAAUAUGCAUGCAUUUGCAAUUAUGCAUAUGUAUAUAUUUGCCAUUUAAAGUGGCAAUCUUUUGGUGAUUAACGUAUAUUAGAUAUUUUGGUGAUAUUAUCUGAUCAAUUUUGUAUUUGACUG
rnacentral:lncRNA from 1 species